UUUCAUAACUCUGUGAAAUGUAACGGACGUGGCAACUUUACAGUAGCCAGCCCUGCCGAAUGCCACAGGCAAACUGGGCGUGGGGGAAACAGUCCCAACAGAGGCGAAUAAUUCUCAAAUCUCACCCGAGCGCGGCACAAAUUGCGCAUAUUUGACUUAGUAUAACCAUAGUGACAAGUGCCUCGGCGGAGCCAGUGGAUUCACCUGAAUCAAAUAUCUCCAGGAGCCUACCGUUGAUCGUCUUGUCUGUUAACCAACUCUAGGUCAUACCUCCAGGGAUCUACAGAGGUGUUAAUUGAUGGAGGUCAGUGAUUUGCCUCUCUUAUCCACUCCCAGGGAAUCGGCCUGAGAGUGCAUUAAGAGAUUGUGGAAGAAGGCAUGCAUGAGGCUUGGAGGAGCAGCACCUGCCAUGUGCCACACCCAUGCCAGUAGACCUGGGUGGCCUGUACCUGUGCCUCUGCCAGCUGCUGUGCCAGCUGUGCAAGGUGAGAAAGCAGAACAGCAUCUCAGAAAGAGGCGAACUGGCAGCUGCAGCAAACAGAGAGGACUGUCAUCAAAGGAGGGCUAGGUCAAACUAAACGACAUCUAUCAUAAUAUAUUUAUUAAUUACAGCAAAGACCUUAUUAUUAAGCGUAAAGCAUUUGAAAUUGGAAUUAAGGCUGUAAAUUUUGUACUCUACAACACUGAGAAGAAGAAAUCUGUUAGUAGUACAAAAACUGUGUUUUGAGUUUGUACAUUUUAACUUUUUUUGACUUUUCACAAUAGGUUAACUACUGAAUUGAGAUCUAUUAAUAUUCGUUAACAACCUUAGGGUCCUGGAUCUCUUAAAUGAUUUUCAAAUAAGAGAACCUUUGACAACAUUAAACUAUAUUACUGUAUGAAUACUGUGGGGUUUUUUUUUUUAACGUUUGUCAGCCUUCUAGCAUUCGACUGGAGGUUCAGACUCACAUGUUAAGCACUGAACCACAGCACAUUAGUGUUCCAGGCUCCAGGCUUAUGGACUUAGCUAACACACUUCCUGUUGGAAACAUACAUUAUACUGCCAGGGGGGGACAUAAACAAUAAUCUUCUUAAGGUGUGAGCUUCUGUGUGAACAGUAAUAGCAAGUAUCUGAAGAUGAGAUUGUGACUAGUGCUGUACCAUAAUGUGGUAUUCUAGUGUAGUUAUUUUUCAGUUAGUUGGCACUUAACAUGGACCAAAACUAUCAUGAUGUUUUUGUUGUUUUUGGUAAAGAUUCAUUUCUGUCUAAACCUGCACAGAUAUCAUGCCAACACCGUGUUCUCAAUUCACUUUAAUAGCACAAAGCAGGAUCUUUACAGUGUGUACUUUGAGUUAAAUAUAGAAAAGCACAGGUGAUAUGAAACUAAUAAUAUUAACAAUUACUUAUUUAGGUGCCACAGUAAAGUACAUCAUCUGUUUCUUUUCAUGCUCUGACAUUAAAAUGUGCAAAAGGUGUAUUGUCCUUAAAUUAAAGAUUC